AUGUUUCUAUUCUCUUGUCUUUUGUGUCUGUUUUCAUUUCUUGGAGUCAUGUCAGAUGAUGAGCUCUUUCAGUCGUCCUCAGAAGUAAAACACAUUGGACAGAGUGUAAAGAUGUUCUGUAAAGGAAUUGGAUAUCAAAUCUCUGACUACUAUAUAUACUGGUAUCAACAGGUUACAGGAGGUGGAAUGACAUGGAUUGGAAGGAUUGAUCCUUAUAAUGGAAAUACAGAUUAUUCCUCUUCAUACCAGGAAAGAUUCACAAUGACAUCUGAUAAAUCCAUAAACACAGCAUAUCUACAAAUAGAAAAUCUGAAAGUGGAAGACACGGCCACAUAUUACUGUGCUAGACACACAGUGAUCCAAGGAUGGCUCCUGCCAUACAAAAACAUACCAGCACUACCAUCACUGUCCUGUCCAUAUUUAUUCAUUGUCACAAUGGGGUAUAUUCACUAA